UUAUUCCACUGUACAAAAAUACGGGUUCUAACAAUAUUGGAUAGAGAAGCAUACGGUAACAAUUUGUAUGAUUAAUUUUUUUUAAUAUCAACCGCGUAUCGCGCAGGUUUUAAUAUUAGUUAAGUUAAUAAUAACACAAAUCUAUUCUCUCUUCAUUUAUCCUAAUUUCUGAUUUUUUUACAUAAUAUCAUGACUUUUACUAUUUUAAUAAACAUUUGAAUUGAGCUUGAUAUUUUCAUUGGAACAAACUCUCAUUCUUUUGUUAAAACUUGAAUUUGCUAACAAACACCAGGUGACAUGCUUACGUGUAUAUCCUGAGGAGAGAAGUUGAAAAAAAAAAGGGAAAAGUGAUUCUAGAUUGUGAAGAGAAAGCAAAGUAGAAAUUGUCAUCUCUCUCUCUCUCUCUCUUUUUUUUUGUGUGUGUGUGUGUCUGUGUGUGUCUGUGUAAUGGAAGGGGAAAGUACUCUCUCUGCGUGUGGCGUGUGUGGGUAGUGGGGUUGUUAAGAAAGCCAAAAGAAAUAGAAAGCAAAGUAGAAAUCGAUUCGAGAUUGUGAAGAGAAAGCAAAGUAGAAAUUGUCAUCUCCCGCUCUUCUUUUUAUUUUAUUUUAUUUUGUGUGUGUAAUGAAAGGGGAAAGUAUUCUCUCUGCGUGUGGAGUGUGCGUGUAGUGGGGUUGUUAAGAAAGCCUAAACAAAUACCUUUUUGGUGUUAUCUUUGUCUAAUAAGGCAUCAAACAAGAUGCAUGUGUUAUUGUUGCUCCUAAACUCACACGCAAGUUUACGUGGUUAUAGGAUUUUAAGGAAAAUAAAGAACUAGGAAAUGAAUGCAUUCCUGAGAUUACAGGGUACCUUGGGGCACAAAGCAUCCCGCAUUAGCAGAGUCCGGUGAAGGGCUGUUAGAAAAUAGGAUUCAGAAUUGGGAAAUAAAUAAUCCGACUUUGAUAGAGUAAUAUCUGCCCUUAAGAAUAAAUACCUUCGUUAAGAAAAUGAUGCAUAUAUACUCCUGCCGUUAUACAAAUUGUGUAAAUAUACCCAUUUAGCUACUAGAGUUUUUUUUUAAAUCAUUUAGCAUAUAUUUUAAUUAAGAAAUUGUCACGUGAUUUAAAAAAAAUAAGUCUACCUAUUUUUUAUUAGACUUAUUUCUUAAAGCUACGAGGCAAUUUUUUUGGCUAGUGGGUUAUCUCGUUCGUUUAAAAAAAAUACCUGUUUAGAUUUAAAAAAAACAUAAGUCUAUCCAUCUUUUUAAACGAACCAGACCCGACCACUAAUAAAAAAUAAGUCUACUAAAAAAUAGGUAGACUUAUCUUUUUAAAGCCAUGUGGUAUAUUUUUAAAUAUAUAACAAGCUCUUAAAAAGAAAAAAUUGUCAGCAAAAAGGGUAUAUUUGCACUAUUUCUGUAGUGGCAAUGGUAUAUAUGUACUAUAUUUUUAACGAGGGAUAUAUCUAUUAUUUGAGGAGUAUAUUUGCACCUAUAUUCCCAAAAUUAAAAAUCAUCCCAUUUGAAGGGCAAAAACCAAAGUCUAGCCCAUUUGAAGGGCAAAAACCAAAGUCUAGCCCAUUUGAAGGGCAAACCGUGCAAUUAAAUGAAAAGAAACAAGCUGGAAAUAAUAUUUGACGAAGUCAACAGACUCAAAUAAAGAAGGUGGAAACUUUAACCAUAAGUAGCAAAAUAAAAGGCUUAACCCAGCUCAAAAAAGCAAGCUGAAAAACCCAUUAAUCAACAAAAAAUUAAAGUAAUAAGGUGAUCUGAGAGUAAUAUCAAGAUGAAAAAGAUAAAGUUAACUUGAUCAAAGAGGGGCUUGACUUUGCAAAUUUACUGUUUUUUCAACUUACACAGUAAAUCGUACAUACACGCGAAAAUGGGUCUAACAAAGAUUCAAGUCUAAUAUAUUGCUAGUGAUGCAAAUAUAAGCCUUUAUCUUCAUAGUUUGUGAUUUUUCAGAAGUGUUUGUUACCCUAUGAAUAAAGACAUGUGCUUUCUUCCUUUGAGACUCAGCCAAAUUUAUUUUCAUUUAUUUAAAGUGUUAGAUUAUUAGAGUUCAUGGCCUCAACUUGUAUAUAUAUAUAAAAAAAUAAAAAAAAAGACAAAAGCCCGUUGAUGUGACAUGCCUCAAAAGCCAGCAAACCUAUUUUUUAUUUAUUCUCAAUUUUAUGCCUUCAUUUCAUUUUUAACUCUGUUAGUUAAUUAGUAAACAUAAACGGACAUAUUCUUUCAGAUUUUUUUUUAAUGUUUCCAUACGUUGCCUACUUGCCUUUCUUAGGGCAUCUCCAACCCAUUGCACCAUUUUUUGCACCAAA